UCUUGUCCUUCAAAUCCCAUACGUAUUUGGAAAGUUCCAAAGAACUUUCCAAAUACGUAUGGGAUUUGAAGGACAAGA
rnacentral:miRNA from 1 species